rnacentral:lncRNA from 1 species
UACAUUUUUAGAACGUUGGCAGAGGCUACAGCUACCAUCCCGACAGUCUGUUGCUACAUAUACUAAUAUCAACAUUUAAGUACAGCAAUAAUAUAACUUACCUGGCAUCCCCCAAAAAAAUACUACAACAAAAGGGCAUGGGGUAAAAAAAACAUGGUCCACAAUCAUCGACUGGAAAUAUAAAUCAAUCCGGCAGCUUCUGGUCGGUGUGCAAUCAAUAAAAAAAUAGACAAAAAUCCCCACCGGAGAGCUCCCUUAUCCACACAGCACUGCUCGUCAUCAAUCCACGCCCCCAUCAGUGCUGCUCUCUCCUCUUCUCCGCCCCGCACCAGUUCCGGCCGUGCCACACCCCCCAUCUCUCUUCCCUCCUCCUAUCCUCCGCACGCCCUAGGGACCGUGGCGCCAGAUCGAGGUAAGGGCCCUGCCUCCUCCAACCGCGCGCAAGCAGGCCAAGCCGAUGCCCGCCCCCUCCCUCUCUUCCCCUUCUCUCUCUAAUCUCUCUCACACGUUUUCUUCAGGGAGCCCGGCAACGGAGGUCGCCGCCUCUCCGUCUUGAUCCGUCGGCUGCUGGAUCCGNN